GAGUUUAAUCAUGGCUCAGAUUGAACGCUGGCGGCAUGCCUUACACAUGCAAGUCGAACGGCAGCACGGGAGCUUGCUCCUGGUGGCGAGUGGCGAACGGGUGAGUAAUGCAUCGGAACGUAUCCUGGAGUGGGGGGAUAACGUAGCGAAAGUUACGCUAAUACCGCAUAUUCUGUGAGCAGGAAAGCGGGGGACCUUCGGGCCUCGCGCUCUUGGAGCGGCCGAUGUCGAAUUAGCUAGUUGGUGAGGUAAAGGCUCACCAAGGCGACGAUCCGUAGCAGGUCUGAGAGGAUGAUCUGCCACACUGGAACUGAGACACGGUCCAGACUCCUACGGGAGGCAGCAGUGGGGAAUUUUGGACAAUGGGGGCAACCCUGAUCCAGCCAUGCCGCGUGAGUGAAGAAGGCC
rnacentral:rRNA from 1 species